UUUACAACAAAACAAAAGUUUUUUUUAUUCACUUGACAUUGAUCCCUCAUGUAAGGUGUAGUCAUAACAUUGAAGGGUUAUUAUCAUUCGAGGGGUUGUUCCAAUCGUUUCAAUAAAUUUCUUCAUAACGACAGUUUUCUUUUCUAGACCAUCGUAAAUACAUGUGUAAGUAAAACUAUGCUUGAAACACGUGACUCACUGAAACGACCUUAAAAUACCCAC
rnacentral:lncRNA from 1 species